rnacentral:lncRNA from 1 species
GUAAAGUGAGGAAAAAUCUCAGAUUAUGAAGCAGUAAGGUAGGACUAAGUACAACGCAUGUUAAAUCAUCUAUGAAGGUUGACAUAAUAGCGGUGUGAGAGAGUGCAGUAACUGGAGACGGUCCCCAUACGUCUGAAUGAAUAAGUCCAAAGGCACUAGGGGCCUACGAUGCAUACCGAGGAAUAUAAGAGGGGCACGAGGAUGCGUAGUAAACUCACAAAAGCACAGUUAAAAAAUUAAAUUUUUGACAUGCUUAUGAACGAGGAAAAAAGACAACAUAAAUAUUGAAAGUUAGCAUGCCCUAAACGAGGCAGCAUGCCACAAAUCUAAGGUGUGAAACAAAAAAAUAGACGCCUUUAAACCAGACGAACUUAAAACAGAUUGACUCUAACACUGGAGGAGGAGAAAAACCUGGAAGGCUAGAUGACACCGUACCUAGAGGUUAAAGGAUCCCCAAGUAGUAUAGUCCAUCCCGCUUCAUACCCCUUGCCAAAAAUCUUCUUCGAAUCAGGUCCUGCAAGAAGCAAAGAGAUGGUAAGAAAAACAAAGGCACAAAUUAAGAUAUUUUGCAAAGGGGACGACUAAAGACGACUGAACAAAAAGAGGAUUAGAGGGGCAAAAUGAGGUGGUACAUUAAAUAUACAGAUGAAAGGGUAAUAUCGGAGAGGAUAAAAAACGAGCAAACUUCCCUGAUACGAAUGGGGAAUGGGAUGAACCAUUCAGAAUAUAAAUUGAUUGAUGAACAAAAGUAAUAAGGAGUAAAGGUAGUAAGCUCACCAAUCAAUGGAUUAUUUGCUCCUGAUCAAAAUCCAAGUGGGGUGACCUGACUACCCAUGAAGAGCGGGAGGAGUCUAUGCAACUAUAGCGGUGGGGGCCAAAGGAUUGGGACGGCAGGUGCUAAUCCCAGGUGACUUGCCAAGAUGAGCAAUCAGAGCUGAAAGUUGUGAAAGUGUUUUGAAGUCAAGUAAAUUAGCAGGUAUAGGGUCCACUUCAGCAAUACCGCCAGUCCGGGGUAGGCCUCUACCUCGGCCCCACUACGGUCCACCCCCACGACCACCUCCACGAGGUCGAGAAAACCGUUGCUUCAAAUCAGGAUGGAGGAACCCAACAGCGAUCCAAUGAGGUGGACCGGACCUUGUGACAGUGUGAACAAUAUAAGUGGUCCCUGAAGAAAAAACAAAUGCCAUAUGUUGUUUAGGAAACAAUAGGAGAGGACUCGAGUAGUGAAAAGGAUGGUUUAAAGACGGACGCCUCUGCUCAUCACCAUCCACGUAGCAAACGCCUCAUUAAAGGGAAGACAGCUGGUUGAUGUGUUUAAAAUGAGUGCGAAGAGGUCCCAAACUCAGGUUUUUAAACCCAUCAAAAACUGAUAGGUAUGUUGACAUCAAGGGCAUUGGACUAACGCUCCAAUCAAUAGGAAAAUCACUGAGGGCUGUAUUGCAAGCUAAUUACUCCCAUCUUAGUCUGAAGAUAUCCAAAAUAACGGCAAUAGAGAGUUCCAAGGAAUGAGCUGAGAUGAAUGAGCGAUCUUCGGUCGGAUAACUCAAACAAUCGGGACUCUUGCGGGAAUGGCAUACAUCUGGGUCAAUGCAGUCCCACAACCCCAUGGACAGUAUCAUGGUACAUAAACAUGUGUAGACUCGAUCUCCAUCGAGUUGAACAUUCCAGCCCACGAUAAUACAGUAUCUGGAAAUCUAUUUCAUCAAACUUGGGAUCAGAUUCAGCAGGUUUUGGUUCUUUUCCCAGAAUCCAAGGGUCUUGACGCUUUUCACCAAGGAAAAAAAAAGCUGUGGAAUGGAUGAAGGAACGAGACCAAGCAAUGAAAGUUCUUUCCAUUCACAACACGCUCGUUAAACGUUGAGCUGGUGAGACUGAGAAAGAGAAACUGGAACUGGGGCUCAAAACCGGAAACUAUAUGGGCUGGGGAAACUCUUUGAGGAGUCAUCCAUACGCAACACCAAGAACACAAUCGUAAAUUAAUCAGACUUUUUGUACUUUUUUGUUUAGAAUGCAUCAUUACCUAGGCCAGCAUGGUAGACUGCAAAAUGAAGGAUGGGCUUGGGAUGCGUGGUUUGUGGGUGUUGGCUGGACUAGGCUGCACAGGCUGGCUGGCGGACUGGGCUGGCUAGAACUGCCCAUAGCCUUGGUGCACAGGCUGGCUGGCUGGACUAGGCUGUGGAUGAAUUCGGGCUGCACGGCCUUGGCUGCACAGGCUGGAUUGGUGUGGACUGGGCUGCACAGGCUGGAAGGGGGGUAGGGUAGAAUGCAGGGGCUGUGCUGAAAACUACAAGCCUUGGAUUGGCUCUGCACGGUGCAGCGGCAGGGCUGCGUGGUCAAGGAGCAGGGACUGAUGGUGGUGGGGCUGCGUGCUGCUGGACAGAUGGGCUGCGUGGUUGCUGUUGGGACUACCCCACGCCAGGGCUGCACAGGAUGUGCUUGGCUGCACGGUGCAGGGGCAGGCUGCUGGUGGUGGCUGUUAGGGUUUGGGCUGCUUUUUACGACCAUUGGAGGCUAGGUUUUUGUUUUUUGUUGUUGUUGACUUGAUGCCAAGAAGAAGAAGUUUAGAAGGCUUAAAUUUUAUUCCUCCAAAGUUCUCAAGAUCUAAUACACAUGUAGGAAUUAAAUUAGGAAAGAAAUAAGGGAAAAAUUAAAAAGAGAAAUCAUUGGUAUUGGUCAACAUGACCUAUUAUAAAUAACCUACGAUAGGAAAUUCUCAUUAAAUUAAGGUAAAGAAAUCUUCUUAACCUGCCAACAGAUAAUCAGUUUGUGAAAAGCCACCAAAACAACAGACUUACAGAGCGUGACGCCCCCGACAGAGUUUGCUACAGAGAAGUUCAUCCAAUUACGUAGCAUUAAGACGAAAAUUUACAAAUUGAUAAUGACACGUAUUCACAUUUUAGGUACUAGGUGUAUUUUAUACACGACUGGAAGGCACGCCCAUCAACUUUUGCGCUUAAUGUUUGGAUGAUUGACCACUUAAAAAUGUUUGAACUUGAGACUUAGUGGUUGAAAUCCUAUGUUUUUGCCAUCAAACCAACCCUCUUGAUUACUGCACAUUAUUGUUCUUUUCACAUGGUUUUCGAUAUUCAGCUGAUUGAUUGGUAAAGUUUAAAUAUUUGGUAGUGUCGUUGAGAUGAAAACCAAUUUAUAGUGAAGAUUAUUAUAUAUGUGAUAGUCAUGAAUAAUUUAUUAAUUUGUUCUUGAUGUUGAUAUAACUAAUUAACAUAGUAGAAUAUUUGAAUCGGACUUCAAUGCGAUGAAGGUAGGUAAGAAAGUGGCAAACCACGUAAAUUUAGUAUCUUGUGAUUAUUUCAUUGUUAUUUCAUUUGUAUUGUUUGUUAAUUUGUUUUAAUCAUUAAUUUGUUUGAACCUAGAGAAGGAAGACGACAGAUGAAUUAAUUAAAAUUCAUAUGGGAGAAUUUGAAGAAAAUUGUCUUUUGUUGGUUUUUCACCACGGUGAGAGAAUUUCUAAUGAUUUAUGUCAUUCUAGCAAUGUUAUUUUCAAAAUUUAUGAUUUUUACCAUUUUAGCCGUAUUAGUGUUAAAAUUUAGUAUAUUACAAUAUUAUUUUGUCAUUAAUAUUGUUGCAUUGAUUGAAUAUUAUUUUAGUUAUACUAAUAUUUUUUUUAUUAUGGAUCAAAUUUUCACCUAGUAUCAAAAUUGCAUUUUAUUGAUCAUUGUGAAAACAGGCUACCUAAAUUUAAAAAGACACAUUUUGACUAGUUAAUUUGGUUUUAAUUGCUGGGAUGCUCUUAGGUCAAGUUCAUACUUGACCCUUGUGUCUAUUUGUCAUUAAACUUAAUUCAGUAGCUAGCACAAGAUCAGAAAGCUAUAUUGACAUUGGACUUGAAAUGUAAGAGAUUAACUGAUAUAAUUGAAAAUUAAAGUUAUAAAAUGAGAUUAGUAAAAGUACAUUAGAGAAAAGUUUAACUUUUUGAACAUUAAAGACGGGAUGAAGUAGAAAUUUUUAAUUUGCCAAAAUCAUCUGAUUGAACAAGUUAGAGAGGAGAGAGAGAGUGACGUCUUGUUCCCCUUUUCUGGGCCAUUAAACGCGCCAGUGGCUAGGGGACUGUCUCAUUGUUUGCGUCUGGAGGAAUACCAAGUUGGAAACAACCUUGUGUAGGCCAGUCCAUGUUUUCUCCUACCCAUUUCCAAAGGAGUUUGUAUGUAGAACUCCGUAGGGCACUGAGUUUGAGGAGGGAGGCAAUUCGUCUCUUCCAUGCUUUUGAGAUCACAUAAUAGUUCCAAACUAAACACUAGAAAAUGUACUACCUAUUUUUAGUCGGGUAUUGAAAUAUUUAUACUUUGACCCUCCAAAUUACACUUGUCAAGUCCUUUGUCAUAGAUACCUUUUAUGUUGUUUCGUGUUUGUAGGUCAUUUGAGCCUAUUAUACGAUCCUUUGGAUGAAUUUCAAAGGUUUGAAAUUUGUCCAGCAGUCAAAAAAGUCAUUUUCCAAAGCUUGUUACCAAAGCGUUAAAGCUUCCAAAGUACAAGGGGCUGAACUAUAAUUUUGGGCAAAAUCUAUAUACCAAAAAAAAAGAAACAGGGUUAAAUCCUAAUUUGGUCCUUAAACUAUUUCAAAUUUAUUUACUUCAUCUCUCAUCUACCAAUUGUAUUUAUUGAGUUAUCUAACAAAUCAAUUUAAGUCAAUUGUUUUCAAUUGAGGACCCGUCAUUUAAAAAGUGGACGUCAUCUGUCCACAUGACAUGCACGUAAGGACAAAAUAGUAUUUUCGUACGUGAAUGAACACGAAACACACAUGGGUCACCCUAAUUGACUUUAUACUCUGGUAAUCGAUCACCAAUUUGGGCAAAAUUGGUGUUUAGAGUUUUUAACAAACGAGAGUUUGUGUCCAAAUCGAUAAUGUUUUGGAUUCUAAGAUCAGGUAAUAACUACCUUCAAUUUUGUGGAGGUUAUGUGAAUGGAUACCAUCUACUUUUUAGAUGGCAGGUCAUUAAUUGGAUUUGAUCCAUGUAAAUUGAUUAGUUGGGGAACUCAAUAAGUGCAAUUAGUAGUUUAAGGACAAAGUAAACAAAUUCGGAAUAGUUUAAGGACCAAAAUAGUAUUUAAUCGAAGAAAAAAAAACGCUAGUUAGUAAAAUCAUUUAGAAUUGAUCUAUGGUCUUGAUUUGGGGAAUGAAAUCCCUUGAUGGCCGUUUAUCCUCUCAAUCAAUCAAUUAUAAUAUGGGGAGUGAUUUUAGGCAUUUGGAAUAUUUGUCCGUCGUUAGUGGUGCUCUUCUGCUUCUGGAGUCUGGACGUCUCAGGCGGAUCAUUGGAUGUGGCAACGCUUAGUAGCUCAUCUUGGCCGGCCAAUCAUUCCAAGCAGUAACACCCGGUGAGUACACCGAAUUAUUUCAUCGAAUGACUUGCGUUGUCUCCUACGUAAUUCCUAGUGAUUUCGAAUUCCCUUUUAUAAAACACCCAACCCAAUAGAACAAUAAAGUCUGAUUCUCUUGGUAGGAAAUGAAGCAUGUAAUUUGAAGUCUAUCAUUAGUUAAAUUCUUUAAGUUUAAAUUUAUCAAAAAUUAGAUAGAACAGUCUAUAGUAACGCUUAUCUGCUGCUAGUGCUGAUUUAGAAACUCUUAUACUUUGGGGGCUCACUAUCCUGUCUUUUCAAAUGUCACACCAUCUUCGAUUGUAUUGAACUAUCCAAUCCAAACAUUUUGGAUCCCAUUCUGAAUCUAUUCUAAAGAUUCAAAUCGUUCAUAUUAUAGAAUCCGUUGUGAAAAUCAAUACUAUAAAAAAAUAUGUUAAUUGGAUACAAAAUAUUAUCCAUUUAGUACUAUUUUAUAACUUAAUAAAUGAAUGUGACACACAAUAUAAUAUACAUUUAUCUUCAUAUAAAUUGAUAUUGGUAUGUGAUUAUUUACUGUAUUAAAGUUCUUACGUAAACUCUACAAUAUGAACAAUUUAGAUCAGAAAAAUGGGUCUGAAACGAUACCCAAAAUAUUUGGACUGCACUUAUGCUUUCCAAAAUUGGACUGUGUAGAAACUGUCCUAUCAUUGGGUGUUGUGUGAGAGAGAUAGGAGAGGAGGAGGAGAAGAGGAGGGUAGGUAAGGAUUGCCUGGUGGGCGUGGGAUGAUGGUGGGUCCGGUGGGUAUGAAAAAUAGGUCUAGUAUUGUUAUAUGAUAGUUUCUUAUAACUUUUUUUUAAAAAAAAUUUGGAGUAGAGAGAAAGCAAAAUUUUGAUGAACUUUUGUUUUUUUUAACCUUUUUUAACUUAAAAACUCUAACUUUUAACAUCUAAAUCUUUAUAACAUUUACGGCAUUUGUACUUUUUAUUAUAUUUUGAUAAAAUAUAAUAAAAGAUUUAAUAUAGAUAGAUAGAUAGCCUAUUUCAAUUUGAGCAUUUCAAAUGAGGUUUUAGAGGUUUUGGGUUGGAGAUUAAUUAUCAAGACAGAGGUACGCAUUACAACAAUGGAAUGGUACAUGAUAUUAUCAUGACCUAUAAGCGUUGCAACAUACGAAUCAAAUCAAGUGAAAGCUAUUAAUCACUCUUGCUUACUCUCAACUGACACAACAAAUUUAAAUUUAAAGCUUGGACACAACUUUAGUGGGCUGUCAUCAAAUGGACCGUCCACAUGCUCUCUUUCAUUUUCUUCAACCUCCUUCUUUGAACUCUUUCCAUAGCGGUUUCUGGGCACAUCAUUAGUAACCACAGUCCCAUCUUCCCCCUAUUUCUUUAAACCUUCAUAAAGCUAAUCAAAGGGGACUCCCUAGCGAGGCCGCCAUACCGAGUUUCUCCACCCCCCCAAAUCUAUCGCGUCAAAGCCAACGCGGGUCGUAUCAGAACAAAUAUAGAUUCCCCGCCACCGUAUGAAGAGGUCGUCCCUUAGUCACAUAAGAUCUGCCCGGACCCAAUACUCUCCGGUCAUUGGGUCCUUCGCCUUCUUCACUCCUCCCUACUAUUCAGCGGGGAAUCGAAAUCAUUCCAGCUCUUGAAACUGCAGCUGGAAAGGCAAAGACAUUUCCAUAGUAUCCUCGAGGUACACGCAGGUCGUGCUUUCCACGUCCGGUGGCUGCACACGAGAUGCGAAUCGUCUCAUUGGGGUCUAGACCAAGUGCACAAGUUCGGCAUCUCCAUAAACACGCGGUUAAGACGUCGAAUGUGGUGCUUGUUGAGCGGGGGUGAAGCGAAGAUGGCUUCGAAUGGCUGUUUAAACUCCUUGGGACGCGAAAAAAAAAGACUUGUGGUCGUGCUUUUGUUGUUGUCAGCCGUGGUGUGUCGAUCACUUGCUCGUACGGGAUGCUGGAAUGUGAUGGAGGGAGUGUGUCUCGCAGCUAGGAACUCCCUUUGCCACACCGUGUGGCACAGAGGUGGCACCCUCUGCGCCUCGGCAAACUCACAAUUGUAUUAAAAAUUGGACGCACCCUUGUGCACUCACUCAUUGUGUGGUUUACGCGUAUGGCAAACGCCCAUCCACCGCAUCUAAAACGGGUCACCUGCAUGAAAAUUAAAAAAAC